UGCCAUAUCAAUAGCGGAGGAAAAGAAACCAACCGGGAUUGCCUUAGUAACGGCGAGUGAAGCGGCAAAAGCUCAAAUUUGAAAUCUGGUACCUUUCGGUGCCCGAGUUGUAAUUUGGAGAAAGUGAUUCUGGGACUGGCCCUUGCCUAUGUUCCUUGGAACAGGACGUCAUAGAGGGUGAGAACCCCGUGAGGCGAGGUGAUCCAGUUCUUUGUAGAACGCUUUCGAAGAGUCGAGUAGUUUGGGAAUC
rnacentral:rRNA from 1 species